rnacentral:rRNA from 1 species
UACGGGGGGUGCGAGCGUUGUCCGGAAUUACUGGGCGUAAAGGGCGCGUAGGCGGCCUGCUAAGUCGAACGUGAAAUCCCUGGGCUCAACCCAGGAACUGCGUCCGAUACUGGUUGGCUUGAAUCCGGGAGAGGGACGUGGAAUUCCAGGUGUAGCGGUGAAAAUGCGUAGAUAUCUGGAGGAACACCGGUGGCGAAGGCGGCAUCCUGGACCGGUAUUGACGCUG